GAGUUUGAUCAUGGCUCAGGACGAACGCUGGCGGCGCGCUUAACACAUGCAAGUCGAGCGAGAACCAGGCCUUCGGGCCUGGGGACAGCGGCGAACGGGGUGAGUAACACGUGGGUAAUCAACCCUCGAUACUGGGAUAGCCCGGGGAAACCCGGAUUAAUACCGGAUGGCCCUUUGGAUCCUCGGAUCUGAAGGAAAAGGUAGCUUCGGCCUCCGAUCGAGGACGAGCCCGCGGCGGAUUAGCUUGUUGGUGAGGUAACGGCUCACCAAGGCGACGAUCCGUAGCUGGUCUGAGAGGACGAUCAGCCACACUGGGACUGAGACACGGCCCAGACUCCUACGGGAGGCAGCAGUGGGGAAUCUUGCGCUAAUGCGGGAAACCGUGACGCAGCGACGCCGCGUGAGGGAAGAAGGCCUCGG
rnacentral:rRNA from 1 species